CCCCUAAAGGCGUUGCAGAUAUGGUUGCUGUGCCAUGUUUGUGUCAUCAGGUGGCAGAGAGGAAGAGGCUGUGUCUACGCUCAGUGUUCUGAAAUCAUGAGCACUCAGAAUGAUUAGCAGCCUGACACUUUUUAAUAUAAAUGUAGUAGUCAGUGAAAGGUGCUGGAUCCUGAGUUGUGAAGAUAGAAGUUUUCUGUCCAGUGCAGGUAUCAUAUGUUCAGGAGCAGGGCCAGUUUCUCUUCCCUGCCCUGUUCCAAUGUGUUCACCUCUGGGCAAGAAGAAUCAAAAGAUAACAUGGUCCCAGAAGUCUGCAUCCUAGACAUGAGUUGCUCUUGAGGAAGGAGGACAGCACUAAUUUCCUUUGAAAUGGUGUAACGUAAAUGCUGUUGAAGGCAGACAGCAAUCCAGAUAUGGACUACACCUUCCUGGGGGACUCAUCCAUGGUUCUGAUUUUCAGCCAUUGAAAAUACCAACCUUUUAAAGUAAGACAUGUGGAACUGGCAGUGAGGAAAAUACCAGCCUUCCUAAGGAUUAAACAGACGAGCAUGGACACCUCAGUUGAGCUCAACGUUACUUUAUCAGAGCCACAAUCAGAAGUAUCAGACCAGAUGUGCGUGAGGAGCAGUAUGAUGUACCUUCCUGGGCUACGGAAGUAUUGCAAUGUCUAGCACUAUAUUUUGAGGGUGGCAUUUAUUUGAAGUUCUUAUUCUAAUAUGCUGGGGCACUUUGUUUGCAGAUGACGCCUGUAAGUUUGUGUUUUCUAACAAGCCUGGCAGCAGCAAAAGAAACCAUUUGGGGUCUCUGCACUUGAAGUUUGCUAGAUAUAUCUUUAGCCUCUGCCAUGCACUGGCUCAAAGACGCUGCAAGCACUACAGACAGUGAAUGUGAAUAUAAUAUGUGGUGAUGUAAAUAUAUUCUUUGCAACUCUAAAUGUUCUCUGUAACCUGUUUAGCCAAGGUGCAAUAAAGAAUAAAUAGCUAUCCUGAUCUUCA